rnacentral:rRNA from 1 species
GACGAACGCUGGCGGCGUGCUUAACGCAUGCAAGUCGAACGGAAAGGCCCUGCUUUUGUGGGGUGCUCGAGUGGCGAACGGGUGAGUAACACGUGAGUAACCUGCCCUUGACUUUGGGAUAACUUCAGGAAACUGGGGCUAAUACCGGAUAGGAGCUCCUGCUGCAUGGUGGGGGUUGGAAAGUUUCGGCGGUUGGGGAUGGACUCGCGGCUUAUCAGCUUGUUGGUGGGGUAGUGGCUUACCAAGGCUUUGACGGGUAGCCGGCCUGAGAGAGUGACCGGCCACAUUGGGACUGAGAUACGGCCCAGACUCCUACGGGAGGCAGCAGUGGGGAAUAUUGCACAAUGGGCGGAAGCCUGAUGCAGCAACGCCGCGUGCGGGAUGACGGCCUUCGGGUUGUAAACCGCUUUCGCCUGUGACGAAGCGUGAGUGACGGUAAUGGGUAAAGAAGCACCGGCUAACUACGUG